UACGUAGGGCGCAAGCGUUGUCCGGAAUUAUUGGGCGUAAAAGAGCUCGUAGGCGGUUUGUCGCGUCUGCUGUGAAAAGCCCCGGGGGCUCAACCCCCGGGGUCUGCAGUGGGUACGGGCAGACUAGAGUGCAGUAGGGGAGACUGGAAUUCCUGGUGUAGCGGUGAAAUGCGCAGAUAUCAGGAGGAACACCGAUGGCGAAGGCAGGUCUCUGGGCUGUUGACUGACGCUGAGGAGCGAAAGCAUGGGGAGCGAACAGG
rnacentral:rRNA from 1 species